AAACAGAGCGUGGCCGGAGUUUGGAGAGAUUUGUUAGCAGGAGUUUGGAGAGAUUUGUUUGAAAAAUUUAAAGACGAAGACUUCAUCUUAACCGACGCAAGAGGCAAUUUCAGAGCAGGUCCAGGAAGAGAUCGCUAUGAGUCAAACACAGAUGGAGGUUCUGACCCCUGCGCUGAGUUAGAGAUAAGGAGAACUCACUGAUGAUGAGACCCCCAGGCUUCCACAGAAGAACAAAGUCAAACAUGAGAGAGCAGAGAGCAUGGAGUGAGGUAGAGAGAACUGCGAUGUAGAGUGCCUGGAAAAAAGGACUGUGAGCAAUGUAUACAUGGAGAAAAGGCCUUGGCUCAAGGGUCAUGGAAAGAUGUCAAACUUUGUGUACAACACAAUUGUGACCCUUAGACAAAGCGGCGCUUCACGUA